CAAAGUAUAAUUUUACAAUUAUUAAUUUAAAAAUUUAUAAAUUAUAAAUGACUAAAAAGGAAUUUUUUUUCACUUUAGGAGGGCCGAGACCUUGCCAACUCCAGACAAAGCUACAACUUAAUAUAUCUGAGAAGAUUCAAAUCUAAAAUAUGCUCAAACUUAAAAUAAUCCGACCCUAAACUGAAUUUAAAACAAUCUAAAUCUAAAAAGAAAUGAAUAAAAAAAAAACCUAAA
rnacentral:lncRNA from 1 species